UAUUUGCAAAUGUCGUAUUAUUUCGAAUAAGUGGCAUAACACAGUUGGUAAGGAAUUGGGGUUAAAUGGUACAAGAGUGAGAGGUCCCGGGCUCGAUCCCCAUUUCUAACUUUUCUCCGUUUUAUUCGUUUUUUAUUUUAGUUCUAAUUUCAUUUUUAUUUAUUUAAAAAUCACAAAAAUUGCAUUUUUAUUAUUUUAAUAUUCAAUUUUCGUUUUUACUAUUUAAGCAUUAAUUUUUUAAGUUUUUCAUUUUUAUUCAUAAAAAUACACACAAAAAAAAAUUAAAAUAUAAAAAGAUUGAAAAAGAUUUUACACUUUUUUUUAAUUGAUUAAAUAUAGUCAUAAGUCUCUAAUCAGAUAAUUUUGGGCCUUUGAAUUAUUUCAAUUAGUUUUGGUUCAUGCAUUUUUAACCUAAUUUUUUUUUGUAUAUAUAACAACAACGAAGACCUUAUUUGGGAGAGUUUUUUUGUCUCAACCCUUAUGCCAGCCCCUCACACGUAUAGCACACGACGAUUAAUUUGUUCUUCGCACAGUAAAUCUCAUUGUUAACAAUAACAACCUGUACAAAAUCAUCAUCCAAUAACCUCCAUGUCAAUACCAUGACAUCACAAAACUCAUAAACUUACAAUAACCUGUAACAAAAUAAUAUACAGUAAUAAAACACAGGUUGGAGAAAGAAGACUCAAAACAAAUCCCACCCGAUCCAGAUUUGAACCGCCAUAGUCAUGCCGUUAUACUACAAACGAGCGCACAGCACAAAAUCGGAAACGCCUCCGACUGCUAGAUCCGGUCACAUCCACCGCCGUUGAUUCAUCGCUGGUACUAUCAUCGUGAGCAUUGGACAAUUUUGCAGACAUUCACAUCUUAUGCAUGCGUGGAUUAAUCUAACAUUUCAGGGUCUGCAGUCCCAGAUCAAUCAAACGCCAGAUCCUGCGUUCAAGAAAGGAAGCUCCAUCCUGUGCGCCCUCAGCCAGCAACACGUGAUCGCAGCUAAGUUUUUCAGCUUUUUUAUUUUAUUUUUUUAUCACAUAACUUCCUUUUAAUUAAGUUAAUUUUUCUUUAAUUACUAAAUACUUUUCAAUUCUUUUUUAUGUAUUUACUAAAGUCAAUAUUUUUAUGAGGAUAUUUAUUUUAUUUAUUUACCGAAAACUCGAUUUUUUCAUGAUUUUAUCAAUAAUUAUUUUUUUUUAAACAUUAACAAAUUAUUAUUUGGUACAUACUUUUAAUUAAUUAGUUAAUAAAAAAUUAAUAAUUAGUUUUUAGUUUGUUAACCUCGAGUCAUUUAUAAACCUUAGAAUCUUGGUAGGUGUUGUCCACUAACGCAUUUUAUGCCUUACAAACCUCUUUUUAGGUCACAAUAAGUUUUCUUGGGUUUGAAAACCUUUCAGGGUUCAUAAACCUUUUUAGGAUUUGUAGAUCAUUCAUACACUAACCUUUUUCUGUUGUUGUUCAAAUUUUCAGGGUUAAUCAAGAUUCUUCCGACUACGCGCCAUGCCAAUCAAGAAGCUAAGUUUCUAAACCUUUGUUAUUUAUUUAUUUCGUUUUAAUAUUAUUUUAAUUUUUAUUUUGCCAGUUAGGAUCUAUUUUCAAAUGCCCAUGAAUCUCUCCUACACUCACUGCUUUCUUUUCCUUUGUCAAUUCUCCAAUGGUCAGGGUCAAUGCUUCUCAUGCUCAAGGCAAAACUCUGCCCAUCAACCUUCAUUAAUCGAAGCUAAAGGUUCGUCGAGUUGCCAAAGCUACGGAUAUUGGUAACCCUAAACCUUAACCUUGAUAUUUUUCUUCGUUUAUUAUUACUUAUGUCAAACCCUUUUAAGGGAUCCGCUGGUUUCUUAUUCCCUUCCCCCACUAUUAUGUAACUGUUUACUGGUUGUAUUGUUUGGCCUUGAAGGCACUUAAAUUAUAUUAUUAUAUUAUUAUUGUGUGGUUAGUAAUGUAGGGAGUGACAAGAUUAAUUAAUCAAACGUUAGAUCACUAACAAGAUAAAAUAUUCGAAUACAACCACGUGAUUGUUGCACCCACACACCUUUAGGGUAAUCCCUCUGGUUGCCUUUGUUGCCUGUUGCCUUGUUGCCUUUAAGUGUACUAAAUAGUCAAAGUCCCUCGAUUCCGAGGAUACCUAAAGCAAAACAAAAUGUUGCCCUAAGUUCAUUAUCAUCAAUUCUGCCCCUCGAAGCUGCCUCGGUAAAAACAUGAUGAUUGUCCCAAUUGCUAAGGUAUCCUCGCAUGAUGCCUAAAAAGAUUAAUGACUAUUAUAUCCUUCCCUUAGACUACCUGCCCUCUUUAUGGCAUGGGACAGUCUUAUGGCGAAUGAUUACUCGAUGACCCUUAAACAUCCAAUUGAAAGACUUCCUGCCCUUUAUGGCAUGGAUAGAUCCUUUCGCCUCGAAAAGCUAAAAGAACGAAUUUUCAAACUUAGGGUAGUUGCUACUAAUUGCUCGCUCUUUUCAAAUUCAAAUUAAAAAUACUUUUCCAACUCAAUUUCAAAUACUUUCAAAACAAGGCUAUGCUUAUUUACAAGCUAAAGUCCUUGGACAAAGUUUUUACUUUUUACACACUGCUCUUUUCAAACAAAUCAAACAAACAAAGUGAGCUAAGCAAUUAAGAGCCCAUGGAUAACCAUGGAUGCAAAGGGUGCCUUACACCUUCCCUUUGUAUAACUUACCCCCCGAACUCAAAAUCUUUUUAAAAGGUCUUUUCCUGUUCUUUUAGCCUUUCCUAAAAUUGGAUAAAAUAAAAGUCGGUGGCGACUCUUGCUUACCGCAACAUUUUCAUUAUUAAAAA